rnacentral:rRNA from 1 species
UACGUAGGGUGCGAGCGUUGUCCGGAAUUAUUGGGCGUAAAGGGCUCGUAGGCGGUUUGUCACGUCGGGAGUGAAAACUCAGGGCUUAACCCUGAGCCUGCUUCCGAUACGGGCAGACUAGAGGUAUGCAGGGGAGAAUGGAAUUCCUGGUGUAGCGGUGAAAUGCGCAGAUAUCAGGAGGAACACCGGUGGCGAAGGCGGCAUCCUGGACCAUGACUGACGCUGAGGAGCGAAAGCCAGGGGAGCAAACCGG